rnacentral:rRNA from 1 species
GACGAACGCUGGCGGCGUGCUUAACACAUUCAAGUCGAACGGAAAGGCCCUGCUUUUGUGGGUUGCUCGAGUGGCGAACGGGUGAGUAACACGUGAGUAACCUGCCCUUGACUUUGGGAUAACUUCAGGAAACUGGGGCUAAUACCGGAUAGUAGCUCCUGCUGCAUGGUGGGUGUUGGAAAGUUUCGGCGGUUGGGGAUGGACUCGCGUCUUAUCAGCUUGUUGGUGGGGUAGUGGCUUACCAAGGCUUUGACGGGUAGCCGGACUGAGAGGGUGACCGGACACAUUGGGACUGAGAAACGGCACAGACUACUAGAGGAGGAAGCAGGGGAGAAUAUUGAACAAGGGGCGGAAGACUGAUGCAGCAACGCCGCGUGCGGGAUGACGGACGUCGGGUUGUAAACCGCUUUCGCCUGUGACGAAGAGUGAGUGACGGUAAUGGGUAAAGAAGCACCGGAUAACUACGUG